GCCGUCGUGGUGUAGUGGUCAGCACGCUCGACGCGUAACCGAGAGGUCCGUGGUUCGAUUCCCGGCGAAGGCG
rfam:Stegodyphus mimosarum contig33753, whole genome shotgun sequence.